GCGGGUGUAGCUCAGUGGUAGAGUACAACCUUGCCAAGGUUGUUGUCGAGGGUUCGAAUCCCUUCGCCCGCU
rnacentral:tRNA from 1 species